UACGUAGGGGGCGAGCGUUAUCCGGAUUCACUGGGUGUAAAGGGAGCGUAGACGGCCAUGCAAGCCAGGGGUGAAAGCCCGGGGCCCAACCCCGGGACUGCCCUUGGAACUGCAUGGCUGGAGUGCGGGAGGGGCAGGCGGAAUUCCUGGUGUAGCGGUGAAAUGCGUAGAUAUCAGGAGGAACACCGGUGGCGAAGGCGGCCUGCUGGACUGCAACUGACGUUGAGGCCCGAAAGCGUGGGGAGCAAACAGG
rnacentral:rRNA from 1 species